rnacentral:lncRNA from 1 species
AGAGUGACACAGACAGGCGACAGCGUCGCUGAGCACCAACUUCUAUUCCACGGAGGCAGACAGCGAAAACCAUUUCAUAACCAUGGCAAGGCAUGAGAGAAGCACAGGGUAGCUGCAAAGUUUUGGAAAAGACCUCUGCAACAACUGGAAGCACAGUGUACCCAAGUGGGGUAAAGUUAGUGAGAAGGAGCACAAAGUACAUACAGUCUUAUUGUCUACCUGGCAUGGUGCAGAGGGCAGAAAGAAGACAAAGAACGAAGAUAAAAGAAGCCUUUUUCCUCAAGAAGAUUGUAAUCUAGUGGUGGAGCUGGAAAAUAAAGGAAAGCAGUGGCCAUGUAUGUCAUGAGGACAUUCCAGUAACCCCAUGUGGUAAGGAACCAAGUCAGCCUGCCAACAACCACUGAAAAACUGAGCCCUCCUGCUGACAGCCAUGUGAGAGGAACACCUGGGAAGUGGAUCCUCCAGGCCUGGUCAUACUUCAGAUGACUGCAGCCCAAGCCAACAUCUUGCUUGAGUGGAGCCUCAUGAGUGACUCAGUCAAAACCACACAGCUGAGAUAUUUCCAACCCACAGAUACUGAGAUAAUAAAUGUUUAUUGCUACUAGGUUUCCUUCCUUCCUUCCUUCCUUCCUUUUUCUCUUCUCUUCUCCUUCCUUCCUUCCUCCCUCCCUCUCCUCCUCCUCCGUCUUCUUCCUCUUCCUCUUCUUCCUCUUCCCCUUCCCCUUCCUCUUCCUCCUUCUUUCUUUCUUACUUUCUUUCUCUUUCUUUCUUUCUUUCUCUAUGAAAAUAUCAGGUGUACUAUAUUUUACCUGCCUUCAUGUAUAUUUGAAUAAUUCCAUAAUAAAACUUUUUAAAAUUCA